UUUUUUCUUUUUUUGAAGUAUAAUUGGGAUACGAUGUUAUAUUAGUUUCAGGUAUACAAAACACAGUAAUUUGACAUGGGUAAAUUUUCUUGACAAUUUUCCGUGAAAAUUGAUUCAUGUUUUUAGUUUACUGGAGGAAUUUGGAGUAGCACUACAGGUCAAAUUCUCUUCCUCUUCUCUGGAUUUCUUAUAUAUUUUUCCUUUGAUCUCUGCCCUUUGCCGUUGCCAUAAUGUAAGAUGCAAAGGACCUGAAUUUAGGCAGUGGCAUUACUUUGGUUAUUAGGUUUAUAGUCAAGAUAAGACCUUUCCUUGAUCUUAUUCUUAAAUUUUGUAGCUACUGUGUAUAUCAUUCAUGAAUGUAGUCUUUAACAAGCAUUAAUUAAUCCUAGUGUCUCAGUCUUGGGUGACUCCUUUACCUUCAUGGACUCAACUAUCACAUGAACCUCAGGAAUUUCCAACUCUGAGUCUCUAGCCCAGGCCACUUACCAUAUACCAGAUAUGUAAUUUAAAAUGCUCCCUGGGUGUCUCUAUCAAAAGCACCUAAACUAAAAAUUCCAGUUGAACUCACUGUUUCUAUCACAGUCCAAAUGUAGCCUACACUUCCUUUAUUCUCUAUUUCUGUCCAUGGUACUACCAUUCACCCAGAUACCCAAAUUUGUGACCAUGGAGUCAUCUCUGGUUCACAUUCCAGAACUAUAUAGUCAUCAAUUCUUGUUCCUUUUGUAUCAUAAAUAGCUCUUCAAUCUAAUUCCUCUUCUCUCUCACUCCCACCUUAGCCUCCUUUAGGCCUUUACCAUCUUUUCCUUUAAUUAUGCUUUAGUCUCGGUACUGCAAAAAAAUUUUCUACACUGCUGUGAGAGUUCCAUUUUUAAAUGCCCAUCUGAUUCUAUUAUUGUCCUGCUUAAGUCUUCAAGAGAUUUCCCAUUUCCUAUGGGAUAAAACUUAAGUUUUUUAGCAUGAAAAGUAGGUGGACAAAUUGGCUUCAUCACCAUCCUCAUAAUUUCCACCAUUAACCCUAAGAAAACAAAAUAGUGUGGGGCUCCUGGGUGGCCCUGCUGGUUGAGUGUCUGACUCUAGGUUUUGGCUCAGGUCAUGUUUUCAGGGUUGUGAGAUGGAGCAGGGCUCUGGGCUCAGCAGGAGUCUGCUUGAGAUUCUCUUCCUCUCCUUCUGACUCUCCCCA
rnacentral:lncRNA from 1 species